rnacentral:rRNA from 1 species
GGGCGGGCCGGGCGGUCUGCCGAUGGGUAUGCUCUGUUCGGCGCGUCCUUCUUUCCGGAGACCGCGCCUACUCUUAGCUGAGCGGGCGUGGGAGACGGAUCGUUUACUUUGAAAAAAUCAGAGUGUUUCAAGCAGGCAGCUCGCUCUUGCAUGGAUUAGCAUGGGAUAAUGAAAUAGGACUCUGGUGCUAUUUUGUUGGUUUCGAACACCGGAGUAAUGAUUAACAGGGACAGUCAGGGGCACUCGUAUUCCGUCGAGAGAGGUGAAAUUCUCAGACCAAUGGAAGACGAACCACUGCGAAAGCAUUUGCCAGGGAUGUUUUCACUGAUCAAGAACGAAAGUUAGGGGAUCGAAGACGAUCAGAUACCGUCGUAGUCUUAACCAUAAACCAUGCCGACUAGGGAUUGGAGGGUGUUCUAUUUGACCCCUUCAGCACCUUACGGGAAACUAAAGUCUUUGGGUUCCGGGGGGAGUAUGGUCGCAAGGCUGAAACUUAAAGGAAUUGACGGAAGGGCACCACCAGGAGUGGAGCCUGCGGA